rnacentral:rRNA from 1 species
AUACAGAGGGUGCGAGCGUUAAUCGGAAUUACUGGGCGUAAAGCGCGCGUAGGCGGCUACUUAAGUCAGAUGUGAAAUCCCCGGGCUCAGCCUGGGAACUGCAUCUGAUACUGGGUAGCUAGAGUUUAGGAGAGGGAAGUAGAAUUUCAGGUGUAGCGGUGAAAUGCAUAGAGAUCUGAAGGAAUACCAGUGGCGAAGGCGGCUUCCUGGCCUAAAACUGACGCUGAGGUGCGAAAGCGUGGGUAGCAAACGGGAUUAGAAACCCUAGUAGUCC